rnacentral:rRNA from 1 species
AGCGAACGCUGGCGGCAGGCCUAACACAUGCAAGUCGAACGAACCCUUCGGGGUUAGUGGCGGACGGGUGAGUAAAACGUGGGAACGUGCCUUUAGGCUCGGAAUAACUCAGGGAAACUUGUGCUAAUACCGAAUGUGCCCUUCGGGGGCAAGAUUUAUCGCCUUUAGAGCGGCCCGCGUCUGAUUAGCUAGUUGGUGAGGUAAUGGCUCACCAAGGCUACGAUCAGUAGCUGGUCUGAGAGGAUGACCAGCCACAUUGGGACUGAGACACGGCCCAAACUCCUACGGGGGGCAGCAGUGGGGAAUCUUGCGCAAUGGGCGAAAGCCUGACGCAGCCAUGCCGCGUGGAUGAUGAAGGUCUUAGGAUUGUAAAAUCCUUUCACCGGUGAAGAUAAUGACUGUAGCCGGAGAAGAAGCCCCGGCUAACUUCGUGCCAGCCGCCGCAGUAAGAC